UUAAGCGACUAAGCGUACACGGUGGAUGCCCUGGCAGUCAGAGGCGAUGAAGGACGUGCUAAUCUGCGAUAAGCGUCGGUAAGGUGAUAUGAACCGUUAUAACCGGCGAUUUCCGAAUGGGGAAACCCAGUGUGUUUCGACACACUAUCAUUAACUGAAUCCAUAGGUUAAUGAGGCGAACCGGGGGAACUGAAACAUCUAAGUACCCCGAGGAAAAGAAAUCAACCGAGAUUCCCCCAGUAGCGGCGAGCGAACGGGGAGCAGCCCAGAGCCUGAAUCAGUAUGUGUGUUAGUGGAAGCGUCUGGAAAGGCGCGCGAUACAGGGUGACAGCCCCGUACACAAAAAUGCACAUAUUGUGAGCUCGAUGAGUAGGGCGGGACACGUGGUAUCCUGUCUGAAUAUGGGGGGACCAUCCUCCAAGGCUAAAUACUCCUGACUGACCGAUAGUGAACCAGUACCGUGAGGGAAAGGCGAAAAGAACCCCGGCGAGGGGAGUGAAAAAGAACCUGAAACCGUGUACGUACAAGCAGUGGGAGCACGCUUAGGCGUGUGACUGCGUACCUUUUGUAUAAUGGGUCAGCGACUUAUAUUCUGUAGCAAGGUUAACCGAAUAGGGGAGCCGAAGGGAAACCGAGUCUUAACUGGGCGUUAAGUUGCAGGGUAUAGACCCGAAACCCGGUGAUCUAGCCAUGGGCAGGUUGAAGGUUGGGUAACACUAACUGGAGGACCGAACCGACUAAUGUUGAAAAAUUAGCGGAUGACUUGUGGCUGGGGGUGAAAGGCCAAUCAAACCGGGAGAUAGCUGGUUCUCCCCGAAAGCUAUUUAGGUAGCGCCUCGUGAAUUCAUCUCCGGGGGUAGAGCACUGUUUCGGCAAGGGGGUCAUCCCGACUUACCAACCCGAUGCAAACUGCGAAUACCGGAGAAUGUUAUCACGGGAGACACACGGCGGGUGCUAACGUCCGUCGUGAAGAGGGAAACAACCCAGACCGCCAGCUAAGGUCCCAAAGUCAUGGUUAAGUGGGAAACGAUGUGGGAAGGCCCAGACAGCCAGGAUGUUGGCUUAGAAGCAGCCAUCAUUUAAAGAAAGCGUAAUAGCUCACUGGUCGAGUCGGCCUGCGCGGAAGAUGUAACGGGGCUAAACCAUGCACCGAAGCUGCGGCAGCGACGCUUAUGCGUUGUUGGGUAGGGGAGCGUUCUGUAAGCCUGCGAAGGUGUGCUGUGAGGCAUGCUGGAGGUAUCAGAAGUGCGAAUGCUGACAUAAGUAACGAUAAAGCGGGUGAAAAGCCCGCUCGCCGGAAGACCAAGGGUUCCUGUCCAACGUUAAUCGGGGCAGGGUGAGUCGACCCCUAAGGCGAGGCCGAAAGGCGUAGUCGAUGGGAAACAGGUUAAUAUUCCUGUACUUGGUGUUACUGCGAAGGGGGGACGGAGAAGGCUAUGUUGGCCGGGCGACGGUUGUCCCGGUUUAAGCGUGUAGGCUGGUUUUCCAGGCAAAUCCGGAAAAUCAAGGCUGAGGCGUGAUGACGAGGCACUACGGUGCUGAAGCAACAAAUGCCCUGCUUCCAGGAAAAGCCUCUAAGCAUCAGGUAACAUCAAAUCGUACCCCAAACCGACACAGGUGGUCAGGUAGAGAAUACCAAGGCGCUUGAGAGAACUCGGGUGAAGGAACUAGGCAAAAUGGUGCCGUAACUUCGGGAGAAGGCACGCUGAUAUGUAGGUGAAGCGACUUGCUCGUGGAGCUGAAAUCAGUCGAAGAUACCAGCUGGCUGCAACUGUUUAUUAAAAACACAGCACUGUGCAAACACGAAAGUGGACGUAUACGGUGUGACGCCUGCCCGGUGCCGGAAGGUUAAUUGAUGGGGUCAGCGCAAGCGAAGCUCUUGAUCGAAGCCCCGGUAAACGGCGGCCGUAACUAUAACGGUCCUAAGGUAGCGAAAUUCCUUGUCGGGUAAGUUCCGACCUGCACGAAUGGCGUAAUGAUGGCCAGGCUGUCUCCACCCGAGACUCAGUGAAAUUGAACUCGCUGUGAAGAUGCAGUGUACCCGCGGCAAGACGGAAAGACCCCGUGAACCUUUACUAUAGCUUGACACUGAACAUUGAGCCUUGAUGUGUAGGAUAGGUGGGAGGCUUUGAAGUGUGGACGCCAGUCUGCAUGGAGCCGACCUUGAAAUACCACCCUUUAAUGUUUGAUGUUCUAACGUGGACCCGUAAUCCGGGUUGCGGACAGUGUCUGGUGGGUAGUUUGACUGGGGCGGUCUCCUCCUAAAGAGUAACGGAGGAGCACGAAGGUUGGCUAAUCCUGGUCGGACAUCAGGAGGUUAGUGCAAUGGCAUAAGCCAGCUUGACUGCGAGCGUGACGGCGCGAGCAGGUGCGAAAGCAGGUCAUAGUGAUCCGGUGGUUCUGAAUGGAAGGGCCAUCGCUCAACGGAUAAAAGGUACUCCGGGGAUAACAGGCUGAUACCGCCCAAGAGUUCAUAUCGACGGCGGUGUUUGGCACCUCGAUGUCGGCUCAUCACAUCCUGGGGCUGAAGUAGGUCCCAAGGGUAUGGCUGUUCGCCAUUUAAAGUGGUACGCGAGCUGGGUUUAGAACGUCGUGAGACAGUUCGGUCCCUAUCUGCCGUGGGCGCUGGAGAACUGAGGGGGGCUGCUCCUAGUACGAGAGGACCGGAGUGGACGCAUCACUGGUGUUCGGGUUGUCAUGCCAAUGGCACUGCCCGGUAGCUAAAUGCGGAAGAGAUAAGUGCUGAAAGCAUCUAAGCACGAAACUUGCCCCGAGAUGAGUUCUCCCUGACUCCUUGAGAGUCCUGAAGGAACGUUGAAGACGACGACGUUGAUAGGCCGGGUGUGUAAGCGCAGCGAUGCGUUGAGCUAACCGGUACUAAUGAACCGUGAGGCUUAACCUU
rnacentral:rRNA from 1 species